rnacentral:pre_miRNA from 18 species
CAGCGCCCCUUCCUCCGCCCACUCAGCUACAACGUGGCAACCAAGUGAGGGCCUCGGGGUGACGC